AUUGAACGCUGGCGGCAGGCCUAACACAUGCAAGUCGAGCGGAUGAGAAAAGCUUGCUUUUCGAUUCAGCGGCGGACGGGUGAGUAAUGCCUAGGAAUCUGCCUGUUAGAGGGGGAUAACUCGGGGAAACUCGGGCUAAUACCGCAUACGUCCUACGGGAGAAAGUGGGGGAUCUUCGGACCUCACGCUAACAGAUGAGCCUAGGUCGGAUUAGCUAGUAGGUGAGGUAAUGGCUCACCUAGGCGACGAUCCGUAACUGGUCUGAGAGGAUGAUCAGUCACACUGGAACUGAGACACGGUCCAGACUCCUACGGGAGGCAGCAGUGGGGAAUAUUGGACAAUGGGCGAAAGCCUGAUCCAGCCAUGCCGCGUGUGCGAAGAAGGUCUUCGGAUUGUAAAGCACUUUAAGUUGGGAGGAAGGGUAUUCACCUAAUACGUGGGUACUUUGACGUUACCAACAGAAUAAGCACCGGCUAACUCUGUGCCAGCCGCCGCCGUAAUAC
rnacentral:rRNA from 1 species